rnacentral:tRNA from 1 species
CUCUUUGGCGCAGUAGGCAGCGUGUCAGUCUUGAAAGCUGAAGGUCCCGAGUUCAAUCCUUGAAGGAG